GAUGAACGCUGGCGGCGUGCCUAAUACAUGCAAGUCGAGCGAACAGACGAGGAGCUUGCUCCUCUGACGUUAGCGGCGGACGGGUGAGUAACACGUGGAUAACCUACCUAUAAGACUGGGAUAACUUCGGGAAACCGGAGCUAAUACCGGAUAAUAUAUUGAACCGCAUGGUUCAAUAGUGAAAGACGGUUUUGCUGUCACUUAUAGAUGGAUCCGCGCCGCAUUAGCUAGUUGGUAAGGUAACGGCUUACCAAGGCAACGAUGCGUAGCCGACCUGAGAGGGUGAUCGGCCACACUGGAACUGAGACACGGUCCAGACUCCUACGGGAGGCAGCAGUAGGGAAUCUUCCGCAAUGGGCGAAAGCUUGACGGAGCAACGCCGCGUGAGUGAUGAAGGUCUUCGGAUCGUAAAACUCUGUUAUUAGGGAAGAACAAAUGUGUAGGUAACUAUGCACGUCUUGACGGUACCUAAUCAGAAAGCCACGGCUAACUACGUGC
rnacentral:rRNA from 1 species